AGUGAACGCUGGCGGUAGGCCUAACACAUGCAAGUCGAACGGCAGCACAGUAAGAGCUUGCUCUUACGGGUGGCGAGUGGCGGACGGGUGAGGAAUACAUCGGAAUCUACUUUUUCGUGGGGGAUAACGUAGGGAAACUUACGCUAAUACCGCAUACGACCUACGGGUGAAAGCAGGGGAUCUUCGGACCUUGCGCGAUUGAAUGAGCCGAUGUCGGAUUAGCUAGUUGGCGGGGAAAAGGCCCACCAAGGCGACGAUCCGUAGCUGGUCUGAGAGGAUGAUCAGCCACUCUGGAACUGAGACACGGUCCAGACUCCUACGGGAGGCAGCAGUGGGGAAUAUUGGACAAUGGGCGCAAGCCUGAUCCAGCCAUACCGCGUGGGUGAAGAAGGCCUUCGGGUUGUAAAGCCCUUUUGUUGGGAAAGAAAAGCAGCAGGUUAAUACCCCGCUGUUCUGACGGUACCCAAAGAAUAAGCACCGGCUAACUUCGUG
rnacentral:rRNA from 1 species